GGUGAUGUGGCCGGUAACGUGGCGGGGACACGUUUCAUAGUAACACCAAAUUGCGUGUUAACAAAUGUAGAAACAAUAUCGUAGAUACAUUUUUAUUACGUGUGUACGGAUAUAGACACGUUUUAUAGUAACACUACAUUGUGUAUUAAGAAAUGUAGAGACAAUUUAUAGAUACAUCUAUUUUCGUGUGUACUGAUAUAUAAUGAUUCUUUUAUUUGCAUUUAUAAAUUUAAUAUAUCAUUUUAUUUCAAAUAGUUUAAUAAUGUCUAAUUAAAGUAUCUAUGACAUUGCAUUGGCAAUCAAUUCUUUACUUCACCAAAAAAAAAUUGAGUAAUUCAUUCAAGAACCAACAAGUACAUUAAUUAAAGUACUGUCAACCAGAUAAUUGUUUUGAUAAAGAAACACAAACAAAGUGACAAUAUCAUACAAUUAUUUCUAAAUUUUUCAAUAACAACUAAAAUCUAUGCUUCAUUGCCCGUUCUUGCCCCUCUC
rnacentral:lncRNA from 1 species